CAGUCGACGGCAGCACGGACUUCGGUCUGGUGGCGAGUGGCGAACGGGUGAGUAAUGUAUCGGAACGUGCCCAGUAGCGGGGGAUAACUACGCGAAAGCGUAGCUAAUACCGCAUACGCCCUACGGGGGAAAGCAGGGGAUCGCAAGACCUUGCACUAUUGGAGCGGCCGAUAUCGGAUUAGCUAGUUGGUGGGGUAACGGCUCACCAAGGCGACGAUCCGUAGCUGGUUUGAGAGGACGACCAGCCACACUGGGACUGAGACACGGCCCAGACUCCUACGGGAGGCAGCAGUGGGGAAUUUUGGACAAUGGGGGAAACCCUGAUCCAGCCAUCCCGCGUGUGCGAUGAAGGCCUUCGGGUUGUAAAGCACUUUUGGCAGGAAAGAAACGUCGCGGGUUAAUACCCCGCGAAACUGACGGUACCUGCAGAAUAAGCACCGGCUAACUACGUGCCAGCAGCCGCGGUAAUACGUAGGGUGCAAGCGUUAAUCGGAAUUACUGGGCGUAAAGCGUGCGCAGGCGGUUCGGAAAGAAAGAUGUGAAAUCCCAGAGCUUAACUUUGGAACUGCAUUUUUAACUACCGGGCUAGAGUGUGUCAGAGGGAGGUGGAAUUCCGCGUGUAGCAGUGAAAUGCGUAGAUAUGCGGAGGAACAGCGAUAGCGAAGGCAGCCUCCUGGGAUAACACUGACGCUCAUGCGCGAGAGCGUGGGGGAGCAAACAGGAUUAGAUACCCUGGUAGUCCACGCCCUAAACGAUGUCAACUAGCUGUUGGGGCCUUCGGGCCUUG
rnacentral:rRNA from 1 species